UUGAACGCUGGCGGCAGGCCUCACACAUUCAAGUCGAGCGGAUGAAGGGAGCUUGCUCCUGGAUUCAGCGGCGGACGGGUGAGUAAUGCCUAGGAAUCUGCCUGGUAGUGGGGGAUAACGUCCGGAAACGGGCGCUAAUACCGCAUACGUCCUGAGGGAGAAAGUGGGGGAUCUUCGGACCUCACGCUAUCAGAUGAGCCUAGGUCGGAUUAGCUAGUUGGUGGGGUAAAGGCCUACCAAGGCGACGAUCCGUAACUGGUCUGAGAGGAUGAUCAGUCACACUGGAACUGAGACACGGUCCAGACUCCUACGGGAGGCAGCAGUGGGGAAUAUUGGACAAUGGGCGAAAGCCUGAUCCAGCCAUGCCGCGUGUGUGAAGAAGGUCUUCGGAUUGUAAAGCACUUUAAGUUGGGAGGAAGGGCAGUAAGUUAAUACCUUGCUGUUUUGACGUUACCAACAGAAUAAGCACCGGCUAACUUCGUG
rnacentral:rRNA from 1 species